CAUCUGCUGUGGUUUGGAAGCAGCCCCUCUGAAGUUUGGUGAACCUCAGAGCCCAGGCUCCUGCCCCACUCAGGGUCCUGCAUGUCCCCAUUGCCUUGGUGUUCCCUCUGCAGCCCUGUGAAGACCCAGGAGAGGCAGCAGCCAUGAAGAUCCUGUUCCUGCUCUUCCCCCUGCUCCUUCUGCUGGUCCAGGGUGCUGCAGGAAGUGCAAGGCGAUGCAAGAGAAGUGGGGGAUACUGCAGCGUUGGGCUGUGCCGUCCCCCCGCAAGUCCUGUUGGCAGAUGUUCACCAUACCAUGUGUGCUGCAUUAGACUCUUAGGAUGAGACUGAAAUUCCCAAGCAGGAAAUGCCCCCGUGCUUGUGGCUGCUGGACCCAUCUGCUGAUGUCCCCUGCCCUCCCUGGCUGUGCGGUGCCCAGCUGGGCUGACAGCAGCAGUGGCAGCUGCUCCUGCUGGGUGCUGCUGGGCUGCAGCCCUGUGGUGCCAGCCCCGGUGUCUUUGGGCCAGGGGCUGCUUUUCCCAGCUUGAAUAAAGACGAGCACUUUGGCAUUGCAGCGCUGGGCCGUGUGUGCGUGUCCUGCUGCUGCUGCUGGAGGGCUGCUGUGCCUGCUGCCCCUGGGGCUGCCACUGCCUUGGUGGCAGCAGAAGGCCCUGGGCAUGGUGCUGGGGCUGAGCAGCG